CUCAAGGACUAUUUACACAGGCUGGUUUCAAUAAUCCUUCUCAAGACGAGUCUCUUCAAAGCCAUUUUGGCGGACCUGGUCCACUACAGUCGCAGGGCCUCUUGAAUCCAAUUUAUUCCCAACCUUUCACCCAAUACAAUGCCCAGCCUUUAAACAUGCAGCAACCUUCACAACAACAGAAUCAGAGCUCAGCUACCCAAAAACUUCACUAUAAUGGCUGAUCCAAUCUAUAAUCUCAUGGUUCCCGUGGGGUUAAAAUUCUCCCUAUGAGCAAAAUAUGAUUUUUGCAAAAUUUUUGCCAUUCUUGGCUCAUGAAAGGUACAGAAGUUUGGGGCCGGCUUGCUUCUCCAUUAUACACAUAUCGGACCCCCCAAUAGAACCUGAUUGGGGUUUUCAGUAGAGAAAAAUUUUGGUUUUCGCAACGGCAACCAACCUCCUGCACGGCCAGAGUCAAAGAAAGGUAUCUAUCCAUUUAUCUUUCCUAAUUACAAUUUUAACUAUUUGGGGACAAAUACGCAAUUCCAGGUGUAAAAAAAAAAAAAAAAAAACUAAUAUUUGAUGCAUGUAAGUAAAGGGUUCUCCAGUUUCCAUAGCUUACCUACAGAAGUAUAUGAGCGCUGUAAUUUGAUUUUGGGGGUUUGGUAAGGCAGAGUUGUUCUUGUCUUUUA